rnacentral:misc_RNA from 1 species
GCUAUUCGCACGCUUAUUUUUCAAAGAGGAUAUAGAAAAUGGAGAACCAGAUACCAAUUCUGCACCUUUCCCAUUUGAGAAGGUCUUUCCCGUUUAUGCAAUGGGGUUUUCCAAGCCCGACUCCGACCCUGUUGUAUUGGCUUCUGCCGAAUCGGCUGACCCGAUUUGGGACGCUGUGAGAGAAGAGGCCAAGUUGGAGGCAGAAAAAGAACCAAUUCUAAGUAGCUUCUUGUACGCCAGUAUCUUGUCCCACGA